AGAUCUCGCAAGAAGACUAAAAAAACCCGCAAGUAUGACAUCAUCACCACUCCAGCAGAACGAGUCGAAAUGGCCCCGUUAAACGAAGAUGAGGAUGAGGAGGAAGAUUCCACAGUGUUCGAUAUCAAAUACAGGUGAGGCCGUUCUCCAAGGCCCUGCAAGAUCUGGGGUUGUUGUUCAACACCUUGUGAGAAUCUCAGCCACAGAGAUGGCCUCUGAAGAAAACUACCACAGUCCUGACGGAAAACUGCCUCCGCUUUCAAGAUGCUACAGAAUGGAUACGAACAUCCAGGGCGUUAAACCUCACUGUUAAUAAACCAAACCAAAAGAAUUGGAAGAGACCUCCGUUCAAGAUUCUGCUUUUCUGCUCUUGUUUUGCUAGACACUAUAUGCUGACUCUGAACCAGUACAAUCGGGGCACAGAUGUCUCUUCAAAGACCAAGAUGUCUGAUGGACUUUCGGUUCUGGGCGCUAAACAAGGCUGGAUGGGUGAUCCCCUCAGUGCCGAAACCCAUCUGGGAUUGUGCGGUUCUGAGGGCAGCCCAAAAUGUUUGGUGUCAACUUUGAACUUGUGCAAACUCUACUGAAGUGGCUGACAGAGCGUUCUGAUGUAUUUGUGUGUGUGUGUGCUUGCGCGUUUGUGGGUGCAACCUAUGAAUCUUGCCUCUGAGAAUGGUUGCACUAAAACGCAUACUGCAAUAA